AUGGUCAAAAGGGAGCUUGGCGGCCGCGUGUGGGCGCGCACGGGGUGCAGCUUCGACGGCGCGGGCAACGGGCGGUGCCAGACGGGGGACUGCGGCGGGAAGCUACAGUGCAUGCAGUACGGGCAGGCGCCCAACACGCUGGCCGAGUUCGGGCUCAACAAGUACAUGGGCCAGGACUUCUUCGACAUCUCCCUGAUCGACGGGUUCAACGUGCCCAUGUCAUUCAUCCCCGUCCCCGGCUCCCCCGGGUGCCCCAAGGGCGGGCCGCGGUGCCCCCGGGUGAUCGCGCCGCAGUGCCCCAACGAGCUGCGGGCCGCCGGAGGGUGCAACAACGCAUGCACGGUGUUCAAGGAGGACAGGUACUGCUGCACCGGGUCGGCAGCGAACAACUGCGGGCCGACCAACUACUCGAGGUUCUUCAAGGGGCAGUGCUCCGACGCCUACAGCUACCCUAAGGGCGAUGCCACCAGCAUCUUCACCUGCCCCGGCGGCACCAACUACCAGGUCAUCUUCUGCCCAUGA
rnacentral:rRNA from 1 species